ensembl:lncRNA
UGCACUAUCCUUCCUAAUCUAUAUCAAUUAUAAAAUAUGAAAAUCAGAGACAAAAUAACUGUCUUGAAAGUGAAUAUUCACAAUCAAUUAUCUAAUUAACUGAGGACUGUCUGCAAUAAUGACAGAAUAUUACAUAUACACCCCAGAGCCUUUUUACAAGCAACACAUUGCAUUUUUCAAAAAUAGAACAUUUAUCAAAAAGUUCAACAUAUAGACAUUUCUUCCCACACUGAUGAAACAAGUUAAAAAAAAUUUGCUCCAGCUUAUACAAGGACACUUGUGGUCAGUUUAUGGGUAAAGGGUCAUUGUAAGUGGUUGAACUCCCUAGUUAGUUUUCACAACCAUAAAACAUAUAGUUUGAGUUCCCCUGGUAUGUUUGAAGGUAGAAGGUUUUGGGUCUCAAACUUGAUGGAGAAAAACACAUGCAACCACUCAAUGUAUUUAUUUGGAUAAUGAAGUUAGAACUUCUAAUUUGGCUCAAGACUGUAAGUUAUGAUGGAAUGUUUCAUAAGGCAAGAGUAUAGUUUCAUGUUUUAUUUGUGGUUUUGUGUGUACAUAUACAAAUAUGUGUGGGUGGGUAUGUUCAAACCCAUUGCAAUACAUGAGCACCAGAGGCAGUGGCCCUUUCCACACUUUACUAUUUAGAAAUGAAACCUUUAUUGGUGUACCUUUAUUGGUAUUUUGGCUUAGUUUUUAAGACCAAGUGGAUGUAGUUUCCAUCCCCACAGCAGGCCCAGUAAGGAAACAAACACACUCACUACAGUAAAUCGCUGUUGAUUCUAAAUGUCAGCUAGUCAGCUAAAUGAAUAAAAUGUAUUUUGACAAAUUCACUUACAUACGUAUUAAAGUAGCCCAAAAUUUAGAAUUUGGUCCCAUUUUUCUAGCAAGUACAGACUACACCAUGCUUUUGACUACAAACUUGGAUACAUUUGCAGUUUGUUUUAUUUUUCAGAUGAAGUUGUGUCCAAUAACAAUUAAUAGUAACUAAUCACUUAGAAGUCACUUUUGUUUUAAAUAGCUAACACUGUGUGCUGUCACCAUAUAUGAAACAUUUGAUUUCAAAUCAGAAAUGUUGUGGUAUAUAGAGCAAAAUUCUGUUUUAACAUCAUUGUCCAAAAAAAUACAUGGAAGGGUAUAUAUUAUGAUUUUGAAACCGCUUUCCUUCUGUUUUAAUGAAGCCCACUAGCACAAAUAAUGUGAAUAUAACUGCUCCCAAAAGUGCUUUUUUUAACCACAACCCAGGAUCAAGAACCAAUCAAGAUUUCAAAAGGAACCUAUGUAGGGUUGGAAUUUCAAUACUUUUUUUCCUUUCUUUUUUUUUAAACCAAAAUCCAAAUUGGAGAACGUCCUGAAUAAGGAUAAGCAGAAAAUCUGCAAAUAAAAUGUCUGGAAAACCAGGGAAUUUAUUAAAAGUUCAUGGAAUUGCAAAACCCUAAUCCCAAGUGACAUGGAUUGGUUCUGUUGUUUAAUUUAAGAGGACAAUAGCUCAGGCAUUCUUCAAACUGACAGUUGAGUCCCCUCUACAAUACUAUAGUAGCCUACUCUUCCACUUAGCCCAGGGCAAAUCCUAGCUCUGGUCCAAAAAUGUAUGGCAAAAAGCUAUGGUUUUACAAAGCAUGUAAGUUUGCAUUGACAAAUAUUAAACUGCAGUAAAAACAUAAUAAAAAUAGUUUCCAUAAAAGAACUUACACCAGUCCCCACUAAUGUCAAUAUAUCACCAGAUUUU